rnacentral:rRNA from 1 species
UUGGGUUAAGUCCCGCAACGAGCGCAACCCUUGAUCUUAGUUGCCAGCAUUCAGUUGGGCACUCUAAGGUGACUGCCGGUGACAAACCGGAGGAAGGUGGGGAUGACGUCAAAUCAUCAUGCCCCUUAUGACCUGGGCUACACACGUGCUACAAUGGAUGGUACAAAGGGCUGCGAAACCGCGAGGUUCAGCGAAUCCCAUAAAACCAUUCUCAGUUCGGAUUGCAGGCUGCAACUCGCCUGCAUGAAGCCGGAAUCGCUAGUUAUCGCGGAUCAGCAUGCCGCNGNGCNNACNCNUNCCGGGCCUUGUACACACCGCCCCGUCACACCACGAGAGUUUG